CUAGUACUCCCUCCGUCCCAAAAUUCUUGUCUUGGAUUCAUCUAGAUACAGAUGUAUCUAAUACUAAAACAUUACUUGAUACAUCCGUAUUUAGACAAAUUUAAGACAAGAAUUUUGGGACGGAGGGAGUACAUG
rfam:Triticum aestivum genome assembly, contig: Triticum_aestivum_CS42_TGACv1_scaffold_221842_3B